UGGUAGUCCCACGGCCGUAAACGAUGAGUGCUAAGUGUUAGAGGGUCUCCGCCCUUUAGUGCUGAAGUUCACGCAUUAAGCACUCCGCCUGGGGGAGUACGGCCGCAAGGCUGAAACUUCAAAGGAAUUUGACGGGGGGCCCGCACAAGCGGGUGGAACAUGGUGGUUUAUUCGAAGCACGCGAAGAACCUUUACAGGUCUUGACCAUCCUCUGACACCCCUAAAGAUAGGGCUUCUCCUUCGGGAGCAGAGUGACAGGUGGUGCAUGGUUGUCGUCAGCUCGUGUCGUGAGAUGUUGGGUUAAGUCCCGCAACGAGCGCAACCCUUGAUCUUAGUUGCCAUCAUUUAGUUGGGCACUCUAAGGUGACUGCCGGUGACAAACCGGAGGAAGGUGGGGAUGACGUCAAAUCAUCAUGCCCCUUAUGACCUGGGCUACACACGUGCUACAAUGGACGGUACAAAGAGCUGCAAGACCGCGAGGUGGAGCUAAUCUCAUAAAACCGUUCUCAGUUCGGAUUGUAGGCUGCAACUCGCCUACAUGAAGCUGGAAUCGCUAGUAAUCGCGGAUCAGCAUGCCGCGGUGAAUACGUUCCCGGGCCUUGU
rnacentral:rRNA from 1 species